CUGGCGAUAAAGCGGGAUAACGAACGCGUCUAUUUGCGAACGAGUCGCGCCUGAGCAAACAGCGCUCAACUCUUCAAGACUACAAAGUAUGUAUACGGAGGAGCAAAGCCAAUGGAGUAAGUGCCCAUAAAGGUAAGCUAGCUAUGUCGCCAGGCACGCCAUCUGUCGCACUGGCGGGUACUCAUCGCGGCCGACAUGUGCGGGGCGGGCAGCGCCGCGCUGCGUGGGAACAGGAAACUACAGGAGCUAGACGUAACAAAGUAGAAAACACUCCAUUAUCUGCGGACGAGUUGGCCGGCGUCCAGGACGUCUGACGAACACGUCAGUUUUACGAGGGAACUGAUGAAUGCAGGAGAGGGAAUCACCAGGAGAUUAGCGUACUUUAAUGUGACUGACAAAAAG